rnacentral:rRNA from 1 species
UCUGCCUGGUAGUGGGGGAUAACGUUCGGAAACGGACGCUAAUACCGCAUACGUCCUACGGGAGAAAGCAGGGGACCUUCGGGCCUUGCGCUAUCAGAUGAGCCUAGGUCGGAUUAGCUAGUUGGUGGGGUAAUGGCUCACCAAGGCGACGAUCCGUAACUGGUCUGAGAGGAUGAUCAGUCACACUGGAACUGAGACACGGUCCAGACUCCUACGGGAGGCAGCAGUGGGGAAUAUUGGACAAUGGGCGAAAGCCUGAUCCAGCCAUGCCGCGUGUGUGAAGAAGGUCUUCGGAUUGUAAAGCACUUUAAGUUGGGAGGAAGGGCAGUUGCCUAAUACGUAACUGUUUUGACGUUACCGACAGAAUAAGCACCGGCUAACUCUGUGCCAGCAGCCGCGGUAAUACAGAGGGUGCAAGCGUUAAUCGGAAUUACUGGGCGUAAAGCGCGCGUAGGUGGUUUGUUAAGUUGGAUGUGAAAUCCCCGGGCUCAACCUGGGAACUGCAUUCAAAACUGACUGACUAGAGUAUGGUAAAGGGUGGUGGAAUUUCAUGGUGU